rnacentral:rRNA from 1 species
UACAGAGGGCUCAAGCGUUGUUCGGAUUCAUUGGGCGUAAAGGGCGCGUAGGCGGCUCUGUAAGUCGGGUGUGAAAUCUCGGAGCUUAACCACGGAAUGGCCUUCGAUACUGGUAGGCUUGAGUCCGGAAGAGGACAGCGGAACUGCGAGUGUAGAGGUGAAAUUCGUAGAUAUUCGCAAGAACACCAGUGGCGAAGGCGGCUGUCUGGUCCGGUUCUGACGCUGAGGAGCGAAAGCGUGGGGAGCGAACAGG